rnacentral:rRNA from 1 species
UACGGGGGGAGCAAGCGUUGUUCGGAUUUACUGGGCGUAAAGGGCGCGUAGGCGGCCACCGCAAGUCGACUGUGAAAUCUCCGGGCUUAACCCGGAAAGGUCAGCCGAUACUGCGGGGCUAGAGUGCAGAAGGGGGCAACUGGAAUUCUCGGUGUAGCGGUGAAAUGCGUAGAUAUCGAGAGGAACACCUGCGGCGAAGGCGGGUUGCUGGGCUGACACUGACGCUGAUGUGCGAAAAGCUAGGGGGAGCGAAACGGGG